rnacentral:rRNA from 1 species
UACGUAGGGUGCAAGCGUUGUCCGGAAUUAUUGGGCGUAAAGAGCUCGUAGGCGGUUUGUCGCGUCUGCUGUGAAAUCUGGGGGCUCAACCCCCAGCCUGCAGUGGGUACGGGCAGACUAGAGUGCGGUAGGGGAGAUUGGAAUUCCUGGUGUAGCGGUGGAAUGCGCAGAUAUCAGGAGGAACACCGAUGGCGAAGGCAGAUCUCUGGGCCGUAACUGACGCUGAGGAGCGAAAGCCAGGGGAGCAAACGGG